rnacentral:rRNA from 1 species
AAACUUCGCAAUGUGGGAAACCACGACGAGGGGAAUCCCAAGUGCUUGCACAAUGUGUAGGCUGUUUCCAUGCCUAAAAAGCAUGGAGAGUAAGGGCUGGGUAAGACGGGUGCCAGCCGCCGCGGUAAUACCUGCAGCUCAAGUGGUGGCCGCUAUUAUUGGGCCUAAAACGUCCGUAGCCUGUUUAGUAAAUGCUUGGGUAAAUUGUGUAGCUUAACUAUACGAAUACCGGGUAGACUGCUAAACUCGGGACCGGGAGAGGCUAGAGGUACUCCUAGGGUAGAGGUGAAAUUCUGUAAUCCUAGGGGGACCACCAGUGGCGAAGGCGUCUAGCUAGAACGGGUCUGACGGUGAGGGACGAAGCCCUGGGGCGCGAACCGGAUUAGAUACCCGGGUAGUCCAGGGUGUAAACGCUGCUUGCUUGAUGUUAGUUGGGCUCCGAGCCCAACUAGUGUCGGAGAGAAGUUGUUAAGCAAGCUGCCUGGAAGUACGUCGCAAGACU